rnacentral:rRNA from 1 species
AUUGAACGCUGGCGGCAGGCCUAACACAUGCAAGUCGAGCGAGCGGCGGACGGGUGAGUAAUGUAUGGGGACUGCCUGAUAGAGGGGGAUAACUACUGGAAACGGUAGCUAAUACCGCAUACUAUCGGAUAACCCAUAUGGGAUUAGCUAGUAGGUGGGGUAAAGGCUCACCUAGGCGACGAUCUCUAGCUGGUCUGAGAGGAUGAUCAGCCACACUGGGACUGAGACACGGCCCAGACUCCGACGGAGGCAGCAGUGGGGAAUAUUGCACAAUGGGCGCAAGCCUGAUGCAGCCAUGCCGCGUGUAUGAAGAAGGCCUUCGGGUUGUAAAGUUCUUUCGGUAGCGAGGCGUUAACUACAGAAGAAGCACCGGCUAACUCCGUGCCAGCCGCCGCGGUAAUUC